UGGGGAAUAUUGCACAAUGGGCGCAAGCCUGAUGCAGCCAUGCCGCGUGUGUGAAGAAGGCCUUCGGGUUGUAAAGCACUUUCAGCGGGGAGGAAGGCGGUGAGGUUAAUAACCUCAUCGAUUGACGUUACCCGCAGAAGAAGCACCGGCUAACUCCGUGCCAGCAGCCGCGGUAAUACGGAGGGUGCAAGCGUUAAUCGGAAUUACUGGGCGUAAAGCGCACGCAGGCGGUCUGUCAAGUCGGAUGUGAAAUCCCCGGGCUCAACCUGGGAACUGCAUCUGAUACUGGCAAGCUUGAGGCUCGUAGAGGGGGGUAGAAUUCCAGGUGUAGCGGUGAAAUGCGUAGAGAUCUGGAGGAAUACCGGUGGCGAAGGCGGCCCCCUGGACGAAGACUGACGCUCAGGUGCGAAAGCGUGGGGAGCAAACAGG
rnacentral:rRNA from 1 species